GACGAACGCUGGCGGCGUGCCUAAUACAUGCAAGUAGAACGCUGAAGAGAGGAGCUUGCUCUUCUUGGAUGAGUUGCGAACGGGUGAGUAACGCGUAGGUAACCUGCCUGGUAGCGGGGGAUAACUAUUGGAAACGAUAGCUAAUACCGCAUAAAAUUGAUUAUUGCAUGAUAAUUAAUUGAAAGAUGCAACUGCAUCACUACCAGAUGGACCUGCGUUGUAUUAGCUAGUUGGUGAGGUAACGGCUCACCAAGGCGACGAUACAUAGCCGACCUGAGAGGGUGAUCGGCCACACUGGGACUGAGACACGGCCCAGACUCCUACGGGAGGCAGCAGUAGGGAAUCUUCGGCAAUGGGGGGAGCCCUGACCGAGCAACGCCGCGUGAGUGAAGAAGGUUUUCGGAUCGUAAAGCUCUGUUGUAAGAGAAGAACGGGUGUGAGAGUGGAAAGUUCACACUGUGACGGUAUCUUACCAGAAAGGGACGGCUAACUACGUG
rnacentral:rRNA from 1 species